AAGACUAUACUUUCAGGGAUCAUUUCUAUAGUUCGUUACUAAAUUCUUGGCAAAAACACAUAUACCAUGCUCACCAUGACUUUUGUCUUAAUUUGUUUUUUUGAGUUAAAGAAGAGACCAUGGA
ensembl:snoRNA LOC120094039 small nucleolar RNA U3